GACGAACGCUGGCGGCGUGCUUAACACAUGCAAGUCGAACGGAAAGGCCCUGCUUUUGUGGGGUGCUCGAGUGGCGAACGGGUGAGUAACACGUGAGUAACCUGCCCUUGACUUUGGGAUAACUUCAGGAAACUGGGGCUAAUACCGGAUAGGAGCUCCUGCUGCAUGGUGGGGGUUGGAAAGUUUCGGCGGUUGGGGAUGGACUCGCGGCUUAUCAGCUUGUUGGUGGGGUAGUGGCUUACCAAGGCUUUGACGGGUAGGCGGCCUGAGGGGGUGACCGGCGACACUGGGACUGAGAUACGGCACAGACAGCUACGGGAGGGAGCAGUGGGGAAUAUUGAACGAUGGGCGGAAGGCUGGUGAAGCAGCGCCGCGUGCGGGAAGACGGCCUUAGGGUUGUAAACCGCUUUCGCCUGUGACGAAGCGUGAGUGAAGGUAAUGGGUAAAGAAGCACCGGCUAACUACGUG
rnacentral:rRNA from 1 species